rnacentral:rRNA from 1 species
GUAGGGAGCGAGCGUUGUCCGAAGUUACUGGGCGUAAAGCGCGCGUAGGCGGGCUGUUAAGUGAGAGGUGAAAGGCUGGGGCUCAACCCCAUGCAGUGCCUCUCAUACUGGCGGUCUUGAGUGCGGCAGGGAGAAGUGGAAUGGCUGGUGUAGCGGUGAAAUGCGUAGAUAUCAGUCGGAACACCGGUGGCGAAGGCGGCUUCUUGGGCCUGGACUGACGCUGAGGCGCGAAAGCUGGGGGAGCGAACGGGAUUAGAUACCCCGGUAGUCCCAGCCGUAAACGAUGGAUACUAGGUGUCGGGGGUAUCGACCCCUCCGGUGCCGCAGCUAACGCAUUAAGUAUCCCGCCUGGGGAGUACGGCCGCAAGGUUG